ACCGCUGUUCGGUUCAUCCGUUCCUUCUUCGUUUCGGUAAGUAAGUAUGUUUUGGAAAGCCUCGCGUUAGUAUUUCGUUGUGUUGGUUAAUGAAUAUGAAUUUUGGUAACGUGGGGUAAAGUCCUGAUUGUUGUAUGUUGCGAUUAGAGUCGUUAAGAUUGUUGCAAAAAUCAAGUGGAGCCGAGAUUUUGGUUGUUGAUUUCGGAUUGAGGCGGAAAGUACUCUGUGAGACGUUUGGGUUAUGGAAUUUGCGUUUUGAGGAUAUGGACGCAGAAGUCAUGAAGAGUUUACCUAGUCGUUAUUGUCGCGAUGUUUUGUAUUGCUUUAGUUAUUAUUCAUUAUUUCCCUCGCCUUUAUCUUUCACAAUUUGUAAGAGGGAUAGGAUUUGUUUUAUGUAAAGCUUAUAAGUUAAUACUGUGUAUAUGUAUGUGUAUGGUUGAAACUAUGGAGUUAUGUAACCUUUUAAACGGUCUUCUGAAAAAUACGGUUUAAGUUUUAAA